GAAACAAAAGCACGCACUUCAUUUGUCUUUUGUUUCUAUUUAAUUUGGUCUUUUGGUUCCUCUUUGUUCCUUUCGUUCAUUCAGUUCACGCACUUGUUCCACUUCCUUACACUUCAUUUGUAACUGAAUGAAACGAAAGACAACAAAGAGCCCAAAAUCCUUGAAUGACUUGUGACUGAU
rnacentral:ribozyme from 1 species